CUGGUGGCGUGAUUACCUGAUGAGCGACACCUGUGAGACACGUUUACAGUCGUCUCUGGGGCGGCACUCGGGAGCGAAAUCCCCCCUUUCACCACCACCCACCUUCACCCUGUCAUUAGUCUGGAACGUGAAGAGAUUAUCAAAGCAGAAGUGAUGCCAUGGUAGUGCCUGGUGGCCAGACAGCGAGUGAAGUAAAACACGCUGUCUGUGUGGAGGGAAGAGGGCUCUGAAUCCCCAUCAUUUCCUUUCUGCAGGACUGCGAACCAUAAAGAGGAUAACUUUCCUAAAGAGGAACAGCUGUGGAAGCAGGAGUGGAGUGAGGCUGGUAUUUUUGGAGAGCAGGCCUUCUGCAUCAUGAAAGCGUGGGGUGGGUCACAACACCUGUUUGCUCAGGACAGACACCCGCCUAUCAAAGCACAGAGUCUCCGACCGUGCAAGACCGAGCCGGUCGCCGUGUAAUGACAAGACGUUCAGAAAGCUCCUCAAUGCUGCACAGCGCCAGUGUGUCCCUUUUCCUCAAGUAUGAAUGCAGCCUAUGAAAUGCUAGUGUUUAGCUUGAUUCUGGUUUAUAAUGAAAGAGUAAUAUGUGCUUGUUGACGUUCCAAAGGUUUAAAAUAAUGCCUAGAUAUCAUGAUGCAGCAGAUUUGGUCUUUGUUAAAGGGAUAGAUCACCUAAAAAUUUACAUUCUAUAAUUCACUCCCCCAUGCACUCGUUUCCAAACCUGUAUGUCGAAGAGGCCAUUCGCACAGAACACUUUUUGGGGAGUUAAAUCACAGGAUGCAGGGCAGCUUUUUUUGUUGUUGUUGAUUUUAAUGUAACUUUAGCACCAUGUUUUUAUAACACUGUCUCAUGCACGGGACACUGCAAAAGAUUGACCAAUU